CUUUGCAGUUAUUUCAAUUUCACCGUUUCUCUUCCAAGUCAGUUAUUGAUAGGAUUUCCAAGAAAUAUGAUGGAUCCUCGAAAUGGCGUCGAAGAGGAUAUUGACGAGAGUGAUAUUUCGAAAGUCGAUGGAACAUCGGCGGAGCGAGAGUCAUACGUUAUAGGGGCAAAUUCCAGAAAUAAGAGAGACAAUUUGCUAUAUGACUUCCGCGGAAUAAAACGUAACGAGGGUGACAUUUGUCGAAGGAGGAUCAUUUGAACUGGCUAUUACAGAAACGGAAUGAAACAAUGGCGACUAUAGUCUACAGUCUGUCUUUUCCUUUGGGAAGAAGGAAAUGUCAGUUCUUGUCUAGUCGAGUCCUUUAAAGGAGGAAGAAGAAGAAGAAGAAGAAGAAGAAGAAGAAGAAAAAUAAGGAAAGGAAGGCUUAACAUCUGUUGUAGAAAGAAGAAGUUUUGGAGUUGAGGAAAAGAAAAAUAGAAGGAUGAAGCAUAGAAUUCCAAAAAUAAUUGGAGUAAAAGAAGUUCUAUGUGAACGACGAACACACGUUUCUCGGAUAAUAAAACCUUGAUCGAGCAUCGACGAUCUACACCAAGAGAAAAAGAGGCAGAGAGAUAGAGAUAGAUAGAUAGAGAAGGAGAGAGAGAGAGAGAGAGAGAGAGCUGCGUGAAAUUUGAGCUCACUGAAGUGCGGUGGCCUUCGAUCCUAUAUUUCGUUGUUCGUCGAUAAAGAGAAAGAGAGACACAAAGAGAAAGACUCGUUGAGGCUCGGCGUUCGACAAUGGGCAAUUUUCUCUGACCGGACGAGAAGUUUCGUGGUCAGCCUCGACUACGAUUAGAUAGGAACCAGGGUAAUGGCGGGAGGUUCAAUCUGCAUUCGUAAUGACGAACGUGGAAGGUGACACAGUGUCUGACCUCGGUGCAGUGACAUCGGCCAUCUAUUAACCCCUGGAGCCAUACGCCUGCUCUCGGUUCUCUGUCAUGGAGAGGAAGAGAGGAUGAGAGAGAGAGAGAGAGAGAGAGAAGGAGUACCAACCAGUUGGAUCUCCCUUUGCCACCCUGCUAAUGACCUCUUUGAACAUUGUCACCAUCCUACUAUUCUUAUCACCAUUUCUCUUUUGAUUCAAUUUUAGAUAUUAAAAAAGAAAUGUAACGCUUUACGAGGAACGUUCGGGAGGAUUGUUCGAAAGUUUUAGGCCGCAGAGUAAAUACAUGCUAUGCGACUCGAUGCAGUGUACACUAAUGACGAAUAAGAGCAAAGUUUCACUGUGGCUUCGUGGGAGUGGUAAUGGUGGCCUUCCUCUUCCCACCAUCCACCCACCUACCACCUUCCAACCCGUGUGGAAUUCCAUAGCUAAUCUUAAGCAGAAUUAGCUUUCCAGUACUCGAUUGGAAACCACUGUAAUCACGUUUGCAUCACUGCAUUUAAUUCCGUAAACGAGAUUUUACCCGUUAUCCAGGAUCAUGAGAUGCAUGAGGUCAGACAGAGAUAUCAAUGAAUUAUUAUUCUUGUGGUCAACAUUGGUAUUCUGGCAUCAUCCUAAUCCUGCUACAUGAUGGAUUUAAAUCCAAGCAUAUUUCGUGACCAUCCCAGUGGUUGACCUAUCCAAUAGAAAAUGGUUUUGGUCGAUAGCGAGAAGGUACAAACAACGUUCAAGGUACCAAGCGUUGCUUGGGGUGAUUGCGCUUGGUUGGCGAUGCGCCACGCAUCAUUUGCCUCGAGAGUUAAUGCAAUAGCCAGACUCGCCGCUAGCCUAUGAGAUUAGAAAGUAUAAUGCUUAUGUUUUAUA